CAAACGACUCUCGGCAACGGAUAUCUUGGCUCACGCAUCGAUGAAGAACGUAGCAAAAUGCGAUACUUGGUGUGAAUUGCAGAAUCCCGUGAACCAUCGAGUUUUUGAACGCAAGUUGCGCCCGAAGCCAUUCGGUUGAGGGCACGUCUGCCUGGGCGUCACG
rnacentral:rRNA from 1 species